CUUGGCGUAGCGAGCCUUACGCCACUGGUCGGUUGGGGAGAGAAAAUGUUAUCAAUUUGCGCCCAGGUGUAACAAGAUUUGCAUCAAGCCGGGUAAAUAACAUUCGGGAUUCAUUUCUGCUACUUUUUCCAUCUUCACUAUCAAAAAUUAUAAUUGAAAAUUCGAACAACUACGGAAAGUAUUUACAUGGAUCCAACCACCUAGAAAUUGACGAGGAAUUAUUUCAUGCCUACUUAGGCAUAUUAUUACUGGCCGGUGUGUAUAAAUCCAAAAAUGAAACUUUGCAUGAUUUGUUUGA